rnacentral:rRNA from 1 species
AGCGAACGCUGGCGGCAGGCCUAACACAUGCAAGUCGAACGAAGUCUUCGGACUUAGUGGCGGACGGGUGAGUAACACGUGGGAACGUGCCUUUUGGUUCGGAAUAACUCAGGGAAACUUGUGCUAAUACCGAAUGUGCCCUUCGGGGGAAAGAUUUAUCGCCUUUAGAGCGGCCCGCGUCUGAUUAGCUAGUUGGUGAGGUAAAGGCUCACCAAGGCUACGAUCAGUAGCUGGUCUGAGAGGAUGACCAGCCACAUUGGGACUGAGACACGGCCCAAACUCCUACGGGAGGCAGCAGUGGGGAAUCUUGCGCAAUGGGCGAAAGCCUGACGCAGCCAUGCCGCGUGGAUGAUGAAGGUCUUAGGAUUGCAAAAUCCUUUCACCGGUGAAGAUAAUGACUGUAGCCGGAGAAGAAGCCCCGGCUAACUUCGUGCCAGCCGCCGCCUAACAC